ACUGAAAAGUAGCUACAGGAUUAUAUGUUGUUAAUGCUAAUCGUGAUAGGGGUUUUUCUCUUUUAUUUCUGACUGACUCCUACAUGUUAGCAUUAACAGUAUAUAGCCCAUUAUCAGCAUUCACAUGA
rnacentral:precursor_RNA from 12 species